rnacentral:rRNA from 1 species
GACAGAGGAUGCAAGCGUUAUCCGGAAUGAUUGGGCGUAAAGCGUCUGUAGGUGGCUUUUUAAGUCUGCCGUCAAACCCAGGGCUUAACCCUGGACAGGCGGUGGAAACUACCAAGCUGGAGUACGGUAGGGGCAGGGGGAAUUUCCGGUGGAGCGGUGAAAUGCGUAGAGAUCGGAAAGAACACCAACGGCGAAAGCACUCUGCUGGGCCGACACUGACACUGAGAGACGAAAGCUAGGGGAGCGAAUGGG